rnacentral:rRNA from 1 species
CUAGUACGGCGAGUGAGCGGCAACAGCUCAAAUUUGAAAGCUAGCCUUCGGGUUCGCAUUGUAAUUUGUAGAGGAUGAUUUGGGGAAGCCGCCUGUCUAAGUUCCUUGGAACAGGACGUCAUAGAGGGUGAGAAUCCCGUAUGUGACAGGAAAUGGCACCCUAUGUAAAUCUCCUUCGACGAGUCGAGUUGUUUGGGAAUGCAGCUCUAAAUGGGAGGUAAAUUUCUUCUAAAGCUAAAUAUUGGCGAGAGACCGAUAGCGCACAAGUAGAGUGAUCGAAAGAUGAAAAGCACUUUGGAAAGAGAGUUAAAAAGCACGUGAAAUUGUUGAAAGGGAAGCGCUUGCAAUCAGACUUGUUUAAACUGUUCGGCCGGUCUUCUGACCGGUUUACUCAGUUUGGACAGGCCAGCAUCAGUUUCGGCGGCCGGAUAAAGGCUCUGGGAAUGUGGCCUCCACUUCGGUGGAGGUGUUAUAGCCCAGGGUGUAAUACGGCCAGCCGGGACUGAGGUCCGCGCUUCGGCUAGGAUGCUGGCGUAAUGGUUGUAAGCGACCC